rnacentral:rRNA from 1 species
GACGAACGCUGGCGGCGUGCCUAAUACAUGCAAGUAGGACGCAGUUUCGAACGGGUGAGUAACGCGUAGGUAACUACCCAUUAGAGGGGGAUAACUAUUGGAAACGAUAGCUAAUACAGCAUACUAGUAGAUGGACCUGCGUUGUAUUAGGUAGUAGGUAGGGUAAUGGCCUACCUAGGCAACGAUACAUAGACGGCCUGGGAGGGGUGUCGGCCAACACUGGAACGGGGCACGGCCCAGACUCCCACGGGGGGCAGGAGUAGGGGAGCUUCGGGAAUGGGGGGAAACCUGACCGGGACAAGCCGGGGGAGUGAAGAAGGUUUUCGGGACGUUAAGCCCUGUUGGUUAGGAAGCGGUACUUAACCAGAAAGGGACGGCUAACUACGUGCCAGCAGCCGCGGUAAUUC